AUUGAACGCUGGCGGCAGGCCUAACACAUGCAAGUCGAGCGGAUGAAGGGAGCUUGCUCCUGGAUUCAGCGGCGGACGGGUGAGUAAUGCCUAGGAAUCUGCCUGGUAGUGGGGGAUAACGUCCGGAAACGGGCGCUAAUACCGCAUACGUCCUGAGGGAGCAAGUGGGGGAUCUUCGGACCUCACGCUAUCAGAUGAGCCUAGGUCGGAUUAGCUAGUUGGUGGGGUAAAGGCCUACCAAGGCGACGAUCCGUAACUGGUCUGAGAGGAUGAUCAGUCACACUGGAACUGAGACACGGUCCAGACUCCUACGGGAGGCAGCAGUGGGGAAUAUUGGACAAUGGGCGAAAGCCUGAUCCAGCCAUGCCGCGUGUGUUAAGAAGGUCUUCGGAUUGUAAAGCACUUUAAGUUGGGAGGAAGGGCAGUAAGUUAAUACCUUGCUGUUUUGACGUUACCAACAGAAUAAGCACCGGCUAACUUCGUG
rnacentral:rRNA from 1 species